rnacentral:rRNA from 1 species
UACGAAGGGGGCUAGCGUUGCUCGGAAUCACUGGGCGUAAAGGGUGCGUAGGCGGGUCUUUUAAGUCAGGGGUGAAAUCCUGGAGCUCAACUCCAGAACUGCCUUUGAUACUGAGGAUCUUGAGUUCGGGAGAGGUGAGUGGAACUGCGAGUGUAGAGGUGAAAUUCGUAGAUAUUCGCAAGAACACCAGUGGCGAAGGCGGCUCACUGGCCCGAUACUGACGCUGAGGCACGAAAGCGUGGG